GUUUUGAUUUGCAUUUCUCUGAUGGCCAGUGAUGGUGAGCAUUUUUUCGUGUGUUUUUUGGCUGCAUAAAUGUCUUCUUUUGAGAAGUGUCUGUUCAUGUCCUUUGCCCACUUUUUGAUGGGGUUGUUUGUUUUGUUCUUGUAAAUUUGUUUGAGUUCAUCGUAGAUUCUGGAUAUUAGCCCUUUGUCAGAUGAGUAGAUUGCAAAAAUUUUCUCCCAUUUUGUAGCUUGCCUGUUCACUCUGAU
rnacentral:lncRNA from 1 species